rnacentral:misc_RNA from 1 species
GUAAAGCUAUCUCUAUAUGGGUAUUAUAUGAUAUAUUAAAGUCUCCUCUCAUGUUUUUCCAGGAACCUUUUGAAGUUUGUUAUUCACCAUUAGUACUAACAUCUCACAAGCCAUCACCACCGCCGCCCCUUUGAAGGAGUCGUUGAAGUUCAUCAGCCAAGCCUUGUAGAAGAACAGGUUUCCUUAUUAGACCAUUCAUUCCCACUUGUAGGCAUUUCUCCCAAACCU